rnacentral:rRNA from 1 species
UACGAAGGGGGCUAGCGUUGCUCGGAAUCACUGGGCGUAAAGGGUGCGUAGGCGGGUUUUUAAGUCAGAGGUGAAAUCCUGGAGCUCAACUCCAGAACUGCCUUUGAUACUGAGAAUCUUGAGUACGGGAGAGGUGAGUGGAACUGUGAGUGUAGAGGUGAAAUUCGUAGAUAUUCGCAAGAACACCAGUGGCGAAGGCGGCUCACUGGCCCGUUACUGACGCUGAGGCACGAAAGCGUGGGGAGCAAACAGG